AUGGCUGCUGCGACGUUGCUCUUGGCGCUCGCCGUCGUCGCUCUCGGCUCCGGCCAUGUUGUGGCUUUCGACCCUAACCCUCUCCAGGACUUCUGCGUCGCCGACCCCACGUCCAAAGUGCACGAGAACGGGGUGGCGUGCAAGGACCCGGCGGCGGUGGUGGCGGAGGACUUCCUCUUCGGCGGCCUGGACAAGCCGGGCGGCAAGACGAGCAAGCGCUUCGGGUUCACGGCGAACCAGGUGCAGAUCCCGGGCCUGAACACGCUGGGCGAGUCCCACGUCCGCCUCGACGUCGUGCCGGGCGGCGUCUUCCCGGUGCACUACCACCCGAGGGCGGCGGAGACGGCGCUGGUGCUGGAGGGCUCCGUCUACUUCGGCUUCGUCUCCUCCUACCCGGACAACAAGCUCUACGCCAAGGUGCUCCGCAAGGGCGACGUCUUCGCCGUGCCGCAGGGGCUCGUGCACUUCCUCUACAACAACGGCACCGCGCCGGCCACGCUCUACGCCUCCCUCAGCAGCCAGAACCCGGGGCUGGUGCUCCUCGGCAACUCGCUCUUCGCCGGGGCGCUCCCCGACGACCUCGUCGCCAAGACGCUCCUCACGGACCAGCACACCGUGCAGACCAUCAAGGCUAACUUCCGGCGGCCUUGA
rnacentral:rRNA from 1 species